rnacentral:lncRNA from 1 species
UUGAUAGAGAAUGUUCGAAUUGAUUAAUCCAGUGAGCUAGAGGGUUAAAAAAUUUGUAAGGAUUUUUUUGAAGAAGUUUAUUUUUACCAAUUUUGUGUUUGUAAGGACGUUGUACGGUUAGAAGUGGAGCUAUGUAGAAUAGAUAGGAUAUUUUUUGUUUUACAAUACAUAGUAUGUAGGAUUAAAAAAAAACUAGUAAACUGAUGAAUGGAUAGUUUAGAAGGCAUGAAGAAUGAUAUAGUCAAAAAAGUAGUUAUCAUUGAUUAUGUAGUGGUUGGAAUUUCAAAAAAAACAUAAGUAGUUUGAAGAAGAAAUAGACGGGGCGAGAUUGUGAUAGUUAUGAACUAAGGUAAGCUUGGUGCUACUUCUUUGUUUCUUUGUUUUCUUUGUAAAAGAAGAAUAAUGGAUAGAAUUUGAAUAAUAAGAAGUGAAAUUCUAGAAUAAAAGAAAGAUUUGAUUUAAAUGAUGUCAAAUGAGAAAUUGAAUUUAUGAUGUGCUAAAUUAUAAGUAAGAGAUUGGAAAGUUGAUAAUAGAGGAUGUUUGUGAAGUAUGAAUAUGAUCGGGAGAAUCAUAAUACAUUAAAUUUUGAGAGUUGAAAGUGUGCCAAGAAGAAGACUAUGAAGUCUGAAAUUAUGUGAAGCAGAUU